AGGAAGGAGAUAGAGAGUGUGUGUGUCUUAGUGUGUUUGUGUGCUUAAAACCGGCCACGGGAGCGCGCCUGUGAGCGGCAUUUUAAAUAGAAGAGAGAGAGAGGAGAGAGAAGAAGGAGCAGAAGGAGAGGGGGUUAUUAUUCAAGAGUGCUGCAGUCAGACGCGCUGCAAGGAGGGGAAAAACGGAGAAGGAGGUGGGCAAUCAGUCAAUCAAAAAUCGUUUGCGUUCAGACUUUGUGUGUCUUUUUUGUUUUUUGUUUUUUUUACAGGAGAGACGAGAUCGGAGCGGAGAGAGCAGAUGGAUGGAGCGCAGGAGAGGAGGAGGAGAGGAGGUGGAGGUGGUGGAGCCAAGUGACGCACAGAUCGAGCAGGGCUGCAGAAAGGGAAGACGGGAAGUAUGGAUUUCAGCCGCCCAGCUCCGCAGCAUGGCUGGAUUUGAUUAACUUUAGUGGUGAUGAUGAUGGUGGUGAUGAUGAAGCACCAGAAAAAUACAUGGUAUUAUUUCCAACAUUUGACAAUACAAUCCAAAUAUUGAUUAUUGCCAUGAUUUGGUUAUCUUUGUGCUUAAAAUCUGGAAAUCGAAAUGUCUUUGGCAAUUUAAUUUCCAUUCUAGAUCAUGUAUAUCCUUUUUUGCUAUUGAAUAUUAAAAACUUACUUAUU